rnacentral:rRNA from 1 species
UGCCAGACUCCUACGGGAGGCAGCAGUGAGGAAUAUUGGUCAAUGGCCGAGAGGCUGAACCAGCCAAGUCGCGUGAGGGAUGACGGCCCUACGGGUUGUAAACCUCUUUUGUCGGGGAGCAAAAGACGCCACGCGUGGCGUUCCGAGAGUACCCGAAGAAAAAGCAUCGGCUAACUCCGUGCCAGCAGCCGCGGUAAUACGGAGGAUGCGAGCGUUAUCCGGAUUUAUUGGGUUUAAAGGGUGCGCAGGCGGAAGAUAAAGUCAGCGGUAAAAUUGGGAGGCUCAACCUCUUCGAGCCGUUGAAACUGGCUGUCUUGAGAUGUCGAGAGGUAUGCGGAAUGCGCAGUGUAGCGGUGAAAUGCUUAGAUAUUGCGCAGAACUCCGAUUGCGAAGGCAGCAUACCGGCGGCGAUCUGACGCUGAGGCACGAAAGCGUGGGUAUCGAACAGGAUUAGAUACCCCGGUAA